UACGUAGGGUGCAGGCGUUUAAUCGGAAUUACUGGGCGUAAAGCGUGCGCAGGCGGUUUGCUAAGACAGGUGUGAAAUCCCCGGGCUUAACCUGGGAACUGCGCUUGUUACUGGCAGGCUUGAGUGUGGCAGAGGGGGGUGGAAUUCCGACGUGUAGCAGUGAAAUGCGUAGAGAUGUGGAGGAACACCGAUGGCGAAGGCAGCCCCCCUGGGCUAACACUGACGCUCAUGCACGAAAGCGUGGGGAGCAAACAGG
rnacentral:rRNA from 1 species